rnacentral:lncRNA from 1 species
UUUUUCUAGAGGGACAAAAUAUGAAAGAUUAAUAAUAUCCGAGCAUUUUAACGUAACACACCGGGGCAUAGGAAACUCACUUGUAGGAGGUGGUCGUCACAACCAAAAUACAUCAUAUUUCAACAUGCAAAUAUUACUCUGAGGCAUACACCUCAUGUAUUAUGUAUAUAUCUCUGACUUUUUGUCGUUGUUGCAUGCGGAGUAUUUGUGCCAAUCAACAAUUCUACAUUUAUUCCAAUCACCAAUUUCUAUUUUUGUUUCUAUAAAACCUUUCCAAUCAUAUAGCCAACCACNNN